AUCCUAACAGUUGCUUCAAACCCUUGUCUUUAUAUAUCCACGUGUAAUUUUCUAUAUAUCUCACAAAAUAUAAGCUCAAAUACCACGAAAUUUACAUAUUUAGCUUCUUCACACAAAAUUUUACAUUUUUCAAAUAAUUUGAGCUAAAAAUUCGUCCAAAAACUCAAGUUAUAGCUCCAACCAUUACUACAAAUAAAACCACUUACUUACUGCUUUUGAUUUGGAAGUGCCGCCUUCAACUCUUUACAACUCCUUUAUAUAAACUCCAAAAGCAAUAAUUCUUUCAUAAAAGAUGUAGGCCUUGAAAUCGCCGUUCCAAUCGUACCUUCCGAUUUUCAAAAGCUAUUGUAAAA
rnacentral:lncRNA from 1 species